rnacentral:misc_RNA from 1 species
CGUCCCCCAGAGCUAGCAG